rnacentral:rRNA from 1 species
UACAGAGGGGGCAAGCGUUGUUCGGAAUUACUGGGCGUAAAGGGCGCGUAGGCGGCCUUCUAAGUCGAACGUGAAAUCCCCGGGCUCAACCCGGGAACUGCGUCCGAUACUGGAAGGCUUGAAUCCGGGAGAGGGAUGCGGAAUUCCUGGUGUAGCGGUGGAAUGCGCAGAUAUCAGGAGGAACACCCAUGGCGAAGGCAGCUCUCUGGUACGUGACUGACGCUGAGACGCGAAAGCGUGGGGAGCGAACAGG